rnacentral:rRNA from 1 species
GUACUCAAAGAUUAAGCCAUGCAAGUGGUUAUAUUAACCCGACAGUUUAAAUAAGUGUUAAAUGCUACAUUAAACUUAUACACACUCACGCACACACACACCAUACGAUUUUGUUUACGGUAGUAACAAUUUCAGCGUGAAUCACUUCUUACACGCAGUGAAUCACUGGAAUUUACACAUUCAGUAUCACUUACGCAACUGCAGACAGCUGCUUAAUACAGUCACACUUGUCUUGACUUGGCGUCAUUUUAAAAAUUUCCUUAUUCGGAACACCUGCUCGCAGGCUUACGGGUGGAUUUUUUUAUAUCGACUUUUGUCGUGCAUACCCACGCAUUUCAAAAUUCAUUUUGAUUUCUCUGUAUCGCUUAUUCUCUAAGGACAUGCGUUACACCGUGACAAUUUUCUUUUAUGGAUAACUCAGGGAAAGUUUGGCUAAUACGUACGAGUACAUAUACCACACACACACACACACACACGAUACAAAAUUUAUUGUGUUUUGCUGCGUGUAUCGACACACCACACACACACACACACUUACUACUCAGCACUCAGUGGUAAACUUUGGCCGCGUUCGCGCAGUCAGUUUAAAGUUUAACUGCAACAUGAGAGACAUUGAGCACGCACGUGUCGUUCCUUCAGGAGCUUCACAUCACGCUGAGCAGACUUUGCGAAGUUUACUUUGCGAAGCAUGUCAUACAAGCAUCUACAGCAUCAAGUCACAGGGUUGGCAAGUGUAUUUUUGAACCUUCAAAGCAGUCACGCAUACGGAAGAGUAGUUUCUGAUCCCAUAGAAGGAGCACCGUACAAUGAGAGACCGCUCUUAGUUCUAAGGAACGCAGCAGGCGCGUAAAUUGCCCAAUGCUAGUACCCUACAAUCUAUUUAUAAAUUGUAACAUUACCAUGCGUUAACAAUUUACAACAUAACAAGUUUAUUACACAUAUAGCACUAUAUUUUUUUCUGUCACACAGAGAAGACAUCCUUGUUCGUUGUUUAUUCAGCAUAUAAGCUAUUAUUUUAUAUUAGUUUUUUACUGAGGCAGUGACAAGCUGUAACGGUUGAGUAUAAAAAUGACGAGUGUCUGGCAUUGCCGCUCUUUCGGGAGCUUGGCAAGUUGCCGACGCUUUGUGUGCUCAAUUGGAAUGCGGUGAGUUUAAGCAACUCAGAACCUUUGGACGGUGUUAGUAAAAUUUCACUGUUNNNNNNNNNNNNNNNNNNNNNNNNNNNNNNNNNNNNNNNNNNNNNCCGCGGUAAUACCAGCUCCACUGGCCUAUACAAUCAUUGUUGCGGUUAAGAGGCUCGUAGUUGGAUUGAACUGCAAAAUUUGAAUAGAUUCUCGUAUCCAUUCGAUUUUGUGAAGUUUUACGCAUUAUCAAAUCCGUUUGAUUGUGCGUUCGACGCUGUUAAAAAUUCCACACACACACUUUUUUUUACACGGCACUCGAAUUUUUACCGUAGCGUAUAUUCUACACACACACACUUAAUAUAUGCAUCACGCGGUAAUUAUUUGAGAGAACUAUCACUCGCUUAGAAUUUAUUCUCCUUUUCAACACUGUGAACAAAUCAGAGUGUAUCAAACAUGUCGUUUUUGAAUGUGCAUUGAAUGUCUUAUCAUGGGAUGUUGCACUUUCGCCUUAGAGAAAAUUAUUGCAAUUUUUUCGCCACACACACACACAAACUACGCGUACAUGUAUGUUAUAUAUUUCGCAGCCACGUAAAUUUUUGUUAUUUUCUUUAACGGUUAAAAAUGUCGAUGGGGAUAGUUGGAGUCAACAGUACUGCUGGGCGAGCGGUGAAAUGCAUUGACCCUAGCAAGACUACCAAAAGCGAAAGCAGUUGGCUAGGCUAUACUCUUUGUGAUUAUGCGCAUUUAAGAGUUUACACGUAUAUUUUUUUUUUACACACACACACACUUAAAAUUUUAUACGCGCACACUCUCAUUAACGUAUCAAUACACUUUACAAUGAAGAACGAAGGUUGGGGGAUCAAAGAGGAUCAGAUACCCUCGUCGUCCCAUUAAUUACAUCAAACGAUGGGCUCUCAAUUGCAUUUUUCAUUAAAUUGCAAAUUUCCUCAGCCUACAAAAUGACUUGGCUUGAGCUCGUAUUUUUAUACGCUCGCCUAACUUUUUUCGUAUGGUCUCGAUGGACGUUUCAUUUAUAUUUUUUUGCGUGUAAGCAUUAUGUGAUUCUUUGAAACAUAAGAAUGCAUUGCGUGCACUUGAUUUUCGGAGCUUUGCGCUCAAUUCUGGUGAGAUGUAAGCACUGUGUCAUACUGCCCGCAGCGUAUACCUCCGGGUAUUUCGUCUGUCGUGUGCAGUUGACAAUCUUGGUGUGAAGCACGCUUUAGGCACGCGCUUACUGCAGAAAUGUCUGAGACAUUCCCUUCCGGGGGAAGUAUGUACGCAAGUAUGAAACUUGAAGGAAUUGACGGAAGGGCACCACAAGAACGCGUGGAGCAUGUGGCUUAAUUUGACUCAACGCGGGAAAUCUUACCGGGUCCGGACACACUGAGGAUUGACAGGCAAUAUUAAUUUCUGCAGCUUCGGCUAAAGUUAUUAUGUUAAAUAUGCUAGUCCUUUCAUGAUUAUGUGAUAGGUGGUGCAUGGCCGUUCUUAGUUCGUGGAGUGAUCUGUCUGCUUAAUUGCGUUUCACUAAGGGCCUAUAAAUUACGUGUGUUGCGGUACUUUGACCCCUCUUUUUUCACGAGAAGAGCGCGUGUCUUAGUUUGCUUAGCUCACACAAUUAGGCUCCUGAAAGCAACGAACGUGACCGCAACCUCUUGUUGCCUUUAUACCAAACAUGGAUAUUCUCUUCGGAGGGUUUCAUGAAAAAAGGCUUUUUAAACUAGAGGGACCGCUGUUACUUCCUUAAACCAGAGGAAGGUUGCGGCAAUAACAGGUCUGUGAUGCCCUUAGAUGUUCCGGGCUGCACACGUGCUACAAUGAUUAUUGCAGUGAGCAUCUCAUUUUUUACACACCGCAUACGCGAGUCCAUUUAUUCACUCUCGGGUGCUUUAAAUGUGCAUCUCUGCGAGCGGUAAAGCCUGCUUCGAAAGUAAGUGGGUAAUCAAUUAGAAGUAAUGAUUUCCUUUUUUUCUAGCACACAUAUAUACGGCGUUUAUACCCGGGCUGCCUUGUUGUAGCUUUUGUGCGUAUAGAUGUUUUUUCCGUAUGUGCGAUUGUCAAUUCAUGGUGGGGACAGACCAUUGUUAAUUGUUGGUCUCGGUCUUAACUAGGAAUGCCUUGUACGGGUCUUUGGUUCAACAAACCACCCGGAAUACGUCCCUGCCCUUUGUACACACCGCCCGUCGCUCUUACCGAUGGACUUCUCUGUGAGUUUGAGGGACUGGGAACGCAGGUUUUUUAUUAAAUCUGCACACCUAUGGAAACUUAAACGAACAGUGUGGUCUAAAGGAAAGAGAAGUCGUAACAAGGCAUCGGUAGGUGAACCU